UCUCAAAGAUUAAGCCAUGCAUGUCUAAGUACAAACUAUAUUAUAGUGAAACCGCAAAAGGCUCAGUAUAACAGCUAUUAUUUAUUUGAUCGUAAACAUAGUUACUUGGAUAACUGUGGUAAUUCCAGAGCUAAUACAUGCAAACAACAUGGAUCUCUGUAGCAAUAUGGAUGAAACAUGUGCUUUUAUUAGAUUAAAACCAUAUCCAUCUCUGAUGGAUUGCUUUUAGAUGAAUCUGGAUAAUUAUGGCUGAUCGUAUGGUCUUGUACCGACGAUAGAUCAUUCAAAUGUCUGCCCUAUCAACUAUUGAUGGUAGUAUAGAGGACUACCAUGGUUGCAACGGGUAACGGGGAAUCAGGGUUCGAUUCCGGAGAGGGAGCCUGAGAAACGGCUACCACAUCUAA
rnacentral:rRNA from 1 species